GCUCAGAAUGAACGCUGGCGGCAGGCCUAACACAUGCAAGUCGAGCGAGAAAGCACCUUCGGGUGUGAGUAGAGCGGCAAACGGGUGAGUAACACGUGGGAACGUACCUUAAAGUCUGGAAUACCCCGGGAAACUGGGACUAAUACCGGAUGAGCUCUACGGAGAAAAGAUUUAUCGCCAAAAGAUCAGCCCGCGUUAGAUUAGCUAGUUGGUAAGGUAAUGGCUUACCAAGGCUACGAUCUAUAGCUGGUCUGAGAGGAUGAUCAGCCACACUGGGACUGAGAUACGGCCCAGACUCCUACGGGAGGCAGCAGUGGGGAAUAUUGCACAAUGGAGGAAACUCUGAUCCAGCCAUGCCGUGUGAGUGAUGAAGGCCUUAGGGUUGUAAAACUCUUUCAGUGGGGAAGAUAAUGACGGUACCCACAGAAGAAGCCCCGGCUAAUUCCGUGCCAGCAGCCGCGGUAAUACGGAGGGGGCUAGCGUUAUUCGGAAUAACUGGGCGUAAAGCGCAUGUAGGCGGACUUACAAGUCAGAGGUGAAAUCCCGGGGCUCAACCCUGGAACUGCCUUUGAAACUGCCAGUCUAGAGUUCGGGAGAGGAUAGUGGAAUUCUUAGUGUAGGGGUGAAAUCCGUAGAUAUUAAGAGGAACACCAGAGGCGAAGGCGACUCUCUGGGCCAUUACUGACGCUAAGGCACGAAAGCGUGGGGAGCGAACGGGAUUAGAUACCCCGGUAGUCCACGCCGUAAACGAUGGGUGCUAGUUAUUGGGGCUUUAUGCUUGGUGACGCAGCUAACGCUUUAAACAUACCGCCUGGGGAGUACGGCCGCAAGGCUAAAACUCAAAGGAAUUGACGGGGACCCGCACAAGCGGUGGAGCAUGUGGUUUAAUUCGAUGCAACGCGAAGAACCUUACCACCAUUUGACAUCCCGAUCGCGGAAGAGAUAAUUGGUGUCCUUCAGUUAGGCUGGAUCGGUGACAGGUGUUGCAUGGCUGUCGUCAGCUCGUGUCGUGAGAUGUUGGGUUAAGUCCCGCAACGAGCGCAACCCUCAUCCUUAUUUGCCAGCACGUUAUGGUGGGAACUCUAAGGAAACUGCUCGUGAUAAGCGAGAGGAAGGUGGGGACGACGUCAAGUCAUCAUGGCCCUUAUAUGGUGGGCUACACACGUGCUACAAUGGCAGUGACAAUGGGAAGCUACAUCGCGAGAUGAUGCCAACCUCAAAAAACUGCCUCAGUUCGGAUUGGAGUCUGCAACUCGACUCCAUGAAGUCGGAAUCGCUAGUAAUCGCGGAUCAGCAUGCCGCGGUGAUACGUUCCCGGGUCUUGUACACACUGCCCGUCACGCCAUGGGAGUUGGUUUUACCUGAAGCCGGUGGGCUAACCUUUGGAGGCAGCCGUCCACG
rnacentral:rRNA from 1 species